UACACUCCUACGGGAGGCAGCAGUAGGGAAUCUUCCACAAUGGGUGCAAACCUGAUGGAGCAAUGCCGCGUGAGUGAAGAAGGUCUUCGGAUCGUAAAGCUCUGUUGUUAGAGAAGAACACGUGCUAGGUAACUACUAGCGCCUUGACGGUAUCUAACCAGAAAGUCACGGCUAACUACGUGCCAGCAGCCGCGGUAAUACGUAGGUGACAAGCGUUGUCCGGAUUUAUUGGGCGUAAAGGGAGCGCAGGCGGUCUGUUUAGUCUAAUGUGAAAGCCCACGGCUUAACCGUGGAACGGCAUUGGAAACUGACAGACUUGAAUGUAGAAGAGGAAAAUGGAAUUCCAAGUGUAGCGGUGGAAUGCGUAGAUAUUUGGAGGAACACCAGUGGCGAAGGCGAUUUUCUGGUCUAACAUUGACGCUGAGGCUCGAAAGCGUGGGGAGCGAACAGGAUUAGAAACCCGAGUAGUCCCA
rnacentral:rRNA from 1 species